AAUGGACCCGACGACUGGCGCGGGUGGGCCACCACCGGGAAGUCUCAACGAGCGCAUCGACCGCCUGGGUGCCCUCU
rnacentral:ncRNA from 2 species